rnacentral:rRNA from 1 species
UACGAGGGGGGCGAGCGUUGUUCGGAAUUAUUGGGCGUAAAGGGCGCGUAGGCGGUCGGAUAAGUCUUGUGUGAAAUCUUCGGGCUCAACUCGAAGUCUGCACAGGAAACUAUCUGGCUUGAGUGUGGGAGAGGUGAGUGGAAUUCCUGGUGUAGCGGUGAAAUGCGUAGAUAUCAGGAGGAACACCAAUGGCGAAGGCAGCUCGCUGGGACGGUACUGACGCUGAGACGCGAAAGCGUGGGGAGCAAACAGG